CCUACGGGAGGCAGCAGUGGGGAAUAUUGGACAAUGGGGGGAACCCUGAUCCAGCGACGCCGCGUGCGUGAAGAAGUAUUUCGGUAUGUAAAGCUCUAUCAGCAGGGAAGAAAAUGACGGUACCUGACUAAGAAGCUCCGGCUAACUACGUGCCAGCAGCCGCGGUAAGACGUAGGGGGCAAGCGUUAUCCGGAUUUACUGGGUGUAAAGGGAGCGUAGACGGUGCAGCAAGUCUGAUGUGAAAGGUCGGGGCCCAACCCCGGGACUGCGUUGGAAACUGUUGAACUGGAGUACGGGAGAGGUAAGCGGAAUUCCUGGUGUAGCGGUGAAAUGCGUAGAUAUUAGGAAGAACACCAGUGGCGAAGGCAGCUUACUGGACUGUAACUGACGUUGAGGCUCGAAGGCGUGGGGAGCAAACAGGAUUAGAUACCCGAGUAGUC
rnacentral:rRNA from 1 species